rnacentral:miRNA from 1 species
AGGUGCCUAUGGCCUGCUAUUUACGUUUUAAACAAAAAAGUAAAUAGCAGUCCAUAGGCACCUAUAGACUGCUAUUUACUUUUUUGUUUAAAACGUAAAUAGCAGCCCUGGGGCUCCA